rnacentral:rRNA from 1 species
UACAGGGGGGGCAAGCGUUGUUCGGAAUUACUGGGCGUAAAGGGCUCGUAGGUGGCCAACUAAGUCAGACGUGAAAUCCCUCAGCUUAACUGGGGAACUGCGUCUGAUACUGGAUGGCUUGAGUUUGGGAGAGGGAUGCGGAAUUCCAGGUGUAGCGGUGAAAUGCGUAGAUAUCAUUUGGAACGCCAAUGGUGAAAACAGGUAGCUGGGGACGUGCUGACGCUGAGACACGAAAGCCAGGGGAGCGAACAGG